AUUGAACGCUGGCGGCAUGCCUUACACAUGCAAGUCGAACGGCAGUGGACCUUCGGGUGCCGGCGAGUGGCGAACGGGUGAGUAAUAUAUCGGAACGUACCUUUCAGUGGGGGAUAACGUAGCGAAAGUUACGCUAAUACCGCAUAUUCUGUGAGCAGGAAAGCAGGGGAUCGCAAGACCUUGCGCUGAUUGAGCGGCCGAUAUCAGAUUAGCUAGUUGGUGAGGUAAAGGCUCACCAAGGCGACGAUCUGUAGCGGGUCUGAGAGGAUGAUCCGCCACACUGGGACUGAGACACGGCCCAGACUCCUACGGGAGGCAGCAGUGGGGAAUUUUGGACAAUGGGCGGCAAGCCUGAUCCAGCCAUGCCGCGUGCAGGAAGAAGGCCUCGGUUGUAACGUAGA
rnacentral:rRNA from 1 species